CGGUUUUGGGGCCAUACAUUGCCGAAGCGUUUCGGUGUCGGCGACCACGCACUGGAUCGGCCAUUCGUGUCGAAACUGCCAUAUCGGCGCGCGAUCACCGCGGUGGAGCUUCCCCCAUCACGGAAAUCCGUUCCUCGCUCGCUUCUUCACGCCCGGAGCCACGUCCGGUCCGCCGCCUUCCCCCUCCUGGUGAUUGCUUCUUUAUUCCAACCAAAUCCGGAGAGCGAGCGAGGGAUCAAAACCCUCGCCUUCUCUUCUCUUCUACCCCGGAAACGAUGGCUUCCACAGCCAUCGCGCGAACCCCAUGGCUCCAAAGGAGAUCCACCGGCGGCGAGGGCUGUAGAAAACCCACCAAAACCCCCUCGAUGAUCGCCAUUAGAUCGCGGCGGAAGGCCUCUGCGAUGACCUCCAUCCAAGGAGAAGACACAGGCAGCGGCGGCAACAACAAUACCGGAGCUCUCGAGUUGAAUACCGUCUUCGAUGAUCUUCAGCCCGAGAUCGCUUUCAAGGACUCCCCAUCGCUACCCAAACCUCUCUCAAUAUCUGAUGUCUCUGGUUCGGUUAAUGGGUCUCGUCUUCGAGUUGCUUACCAGGGUCUUCCGGGUGCAUAUAGUGAAGCUGCGGCGGCAAAGGCAUACCCGAAUUGCGAAGCCGUUCCAUGCGAACUAUUUGAAACUGCCUUCGAUGCUCUUGAACGUUGGCUUGUUGAUCGGGCAGUUCUACCCAUUGAAAAUUCAUUAGGUGGUAGCAUCCAUCGCAACUACGACCUUUUACUUCGUCAUAAAUUGCAUAUUGUCGGGGAAGUAAAAUAUGCAGUUCGGCAUUGCUUACUAGCCAACCCUGGUGUGAAAAAGGAAGAUUUAAAAAGAGUUCUCAGCCACCCUCAAGCUCUCGCACAGUGUGAGCAUACACUUACAAAGUUGGGAGUUGUCAGAGAAGCUGUCGAUGAUACUGCAGGAGCUGCAAAAUUUGUUGCUGUCCAAAAACUCCAAGAUGCAGGGGCAGUUGCCAGUUCAUUGGCUGCUGAAAUUUAUGGUUUGAAUAUUCUUGCCCAAGAUAUCCAGGAUGACCCUGAUAAUGUUACUCGAUUUUUAAUGCUAGCACGAGAGCCAAUUAUUCCAGGUACCAACAAACCAUUUAAGACGAGCAUAGUUUUCUCUCUAGAAGAAGGGCCUGGUGUGCUUUUUAAGGCCCUUGCUGUUUUUGCCAUGAGAGACAUCAACCUCACAAAGAUUGAAAGUCGUCCUCGAAAGAAAAAGCCCUUACGCGUGACUGAAGAUGGCAGCAAUGGGCCUCUAAAGUACUUUGACUAUCUUUUCUAUGUAGAUUUUGAAGCAUCAAUGGCUGCACCAAAUGCUCAGAAUGCCCUUAGGCACCUAAAGGAAUUUGCGACGUUCUUAAGAGUGCUGGGAAGUUAUCCAAUGGACAUGAGCCAUGCAUGAAUGACCUGAGGAGAAGUGAACACACCUGGGCAUAGAAAUUUGUUACGCUCCUUGACUUGAUUAUUUAAGCAUGAUCUGGUUGUUGAAGAUCCGAGGAUAUAUCUAGAUUUCUGAUAUCCAACAACUCUUAGAAUGGUUUAUGGGCAAGGAGAUAUGAUGUGUUUAAGAAGCGCAUGAUCUACUCCUUCCAGUUAACACAGUUUGAGGAACAUAUAGUUGACUCAAGGGUCAAAAAGGUGAGAGUAUCUUCGUGUAUGGAAGAUUGCUGUAUAUCCAGAAUAGUAUCUUUUUUUUUUUUGCAAAAUUCAGAACCUUGGUCAAGGAAUGUAUAGAAAGUUGUUACACGAUCAUGUAGGAAGCAUUACUUUUGUUUUCCUUUUUUUAAUGUUCAAAAAUUUAUCUCUUUCCUCUCCA